CCCAGCAGCCAUAUCACCCUGUAACUCACAACUGACAACCCACUGAAGCUAAGCAGGUGUGAGCCUGGUCAGUACCUGGAUGGGAGACCUCCUGGGAAAAACUAAAGUUGCUGCUGGAA
rnacentral:rRNA from 1 species